AAAGAGAGGAGCACCAAAGAAGUCGAGAUUCAACAGGACCAGACAAAAUUGGCCCUUCUUAAAGUCUUUGCUCUAUUCCCGUUACACGUCAAUGGGUAAAGAGGGGUAGCUGUAAAAGACCAAUUUUAUCUGGCCCAAUAAACAAAACAAAAAAAAAAACAAAAGUUCAUUUACAAAAUAGAUUGGCCCAAAAAAAGAGCCCAAUAACCCAACCCACCUGCUAAACCUAAUACCCAAUAACCCAAAGCCCAAUAGCCCAUAACCUAAACUAUUCUCAGAAAGUAAAAAAAUCCUAACCCGUUUGGCGUCGCUCCCCAC
rnacentral:lncRNA from 1 species